AGCGUCAAUGAAUAUGUAAAGGAGUAGAAAAAGAGGAUGCGGGGAAUUUAAAACGCGGUUCAUUAUUCCCCAUCCGAGCUUAUCUGAUGCAGUGAGUUCCGCUAAAUGCCGGUUCCGAUUACAUUUAUUGAAAUAAUCGAUCGGCCAACGUAUUAUGCUAAUGCCAGCGAGACCUUAACAGUUAAGGCUUAACUGUUACACUGUUUGCGUCGACAUAAAUCGAUGCACCGCCGUGAGCACCGCCGUGUAAUUUGUCCGCGCCUAUGCGGUUGCGCUUCCUCGCCAACCAUUCGAGAUCAGUUGCAGGCUGUACGCAAGAUCUUGCAGGUGGCUGGAUUUUGAGUAAUGGUAUUAUAAGUGGAAUUAUAUCUCUUGGAGGAUCCUUUGAAGUUAGGUUACAGUGUAUAUAUCGAGCGUUACACUGUCAGGUAGAUGUAGGUAGCGAGGAUCUACUCGUUUGCGCGUUUAUUGCAACAUUCUAAUAAAUUUGGCUUUAUUUACCGGUUUCCGUUACGUGGGUUUGUCUUAUAUGUAGCUCAUGUAGAUUUGUAGUAAAAUAAGUGGCAAACAUGUGCCAACUGUUGC
rnacentral:misc_RNA from 1 species